UACCUAAACCAGAGGAGGUGUGUGACAGCAAGCAGGUCACCUGUAUUACAUUUAACAUGUACCUAAGCCAGAGGAGGUGUGUGACAGCAGGCAGGUCACCUGUAUUACAUUUAACAUGUACCUAAGCCAGAGGAGGUGUGUGACAGCAAGCAGGUCACCUGUGAUACAUUUAACAUGUACCUAAGCCAGAGGAG